CCUACGGGAGGCAGCAGUGAGGAAUAUUGGUCAAUGGACGAGAGUCUGAACCAGCCAAGUAGCGUGAAGGAUGACUGCCCUAUGGGUUGUAAACUUCUUUUAUAAAGGAAUAAAACGAGGCACGUGUGCCUUUUUUCAUGUACUUUAUGAAUAAGGAUCGGCUAACUCCGUGCCAGCAGCCGCGGUAAUACGGAGGAUCCGAGCGUUAUCCGGAUUUAUUGGGUUUAAAGGGAGCGUAGAUGGGUUGUUAAGUCAGUUGUGAAAGUUUGCGGCUCAACCGUAAAAUUGCAAUUGAUACUGGCAGUCUUGAGUACAGUAGAGGUAGGCGGAAUUCGUGGUGUAGCGGUGAAAUGCUUAGAUAUCACGAAGAACCCCGAUUGCGAAGGCAGCUUACUAAACUGUGACUGACAUUGAUGCUCGAAAGUGUGGGUAUCAAACAGGAUUAGAUACCCUUGUAGUC
rnacentral:rRNA from 1 species